UGACCCCCAAAGCCGCAUUAAACCUGACUCCUUAAUACCACCAGCGAGUUAAUCCUGACCCAGAUGAGAGACAAUCCCCACCCCCAACACCGGGGAAGUGACGUGGUCCGGUGAAACAGCCUGGAUUAUCCCCCACCAUUUAACCCCCCCAUACCCGCCACUCAACUGUCCCCCUGGAGGGAAUGGGUGGGGGGGUAUUGAGCUCGAAGCGCCUGUGGGUCUGACCGGGGGUGAUGGAGGCGGGAUACCGGGGUAGAUGGGCCCCCAGGUCUGACCGGGGGUGAUGGAGGCGGGAUACCGGGGUAGAUGGGCCCCCAGGUCUGACCGGGGGUGAUGGAGGGGGGACACCGGGGUAGAUGGGCCCCCAGGUCUGACCGGGGGUGAUGGAGGCGGGAUACCGGGGUAGAUGGGCCCCCAGGUCUGACCGGGGGUGAUGGAGGGGGGACACCGGGGUAGAUGGGCCCCCAGGUCUGACCGGGGGUGAUGGAGGGGGGACACCGGGGUAGAUGGGCCCCCAGGUCUGACCGGGGGUGAUGGAGGCGGGAUACCGGGGUAGAUGGGCCCCCAGGUCUGACCGGGGGUGAUGGAGGCGGGAUACCGGGGUAGGUGGGCCCCCAGGUCUGACCGCGGGUGGUGGAGGGGGGACACCGGGGUAGGUGGGCCCCCAGGUCUGACCGGGGGUGGUGGAGGGGGGACACCGGGGUAGGUGGGCCCCCAGGUCUGACCACGGGUGGUGGAGGGGGGACACCGGGGUAGGUGGGCCCCCAGGUCUGACCGGGGGUGAUGGAGGCGGGAUACCGGGGUAGGUGGGCCCCCAGGUCUGACCGCGGGUGAUGGAGGGGGGACACCGGGGUAGAUGGGCCCCCAGGUCUGACUGGAGGUGAU